GAGGAGUGGUUUCCUACGUGGAAUUCACAUGACAAGACCAUUAAUAGGGCUGGCAUCAUACUGUUGGAGUUUACCAUUAACUGCGGGCUGCACAGCUUGCAUGGUACACCCAAAGACUGGUCCGGGGGAUACUAUACUUUUCUAGGAUCUAGAGGGGCAAGCGUUAUAGAUUAUAUCUGGUCCUUUUCGGCACUUAAUGAUAAGGCAUAUUGUUUCAAUGUGUUCAACAGAACCGAAAGUGACCACCUUCCUAUUGCCAUCUCCUUCCACCACACACAGCUGGGGCUCCCCAGCUCACUCCCCCACCAGGAUUCACUGACCUUAGCCCCGGUCGUAAGAAGUGGGAUAUCUAUUUGGAGCAAGACAUAAAAGUCCUCCUAAAUUCCCCUGAGAUCCUAGCCCUGAAAGCUCAGCUGGUAACAAUGAAUGUGAAUCAUUUCUCAAGUUUCCAACAAAUUCUAGCCUACUUGCUCCCAACACUUACGAAACCCUCCCGUGCGAGUCUAACCUGGAAGAAUCAAACUUGGUUCGACCAAGAAUGCAAACAGUGCAGAAGUAGGCUUAGAUUUCUUCAGUCUGAUAUGAAAUCAGACAGCACCCAGAGCAAAAUCAGGGAGUUAGCCCAAUUCCGUUCUUACUACAAGAAGUUGCUCCAACAUAAGAAAUUGAUCUUUGCGAAAGAACGCUGGACGGCAUUGUCAGUGGCCAUUAAAACCCGUGACGACAAGAAAUUCUGGAAUUUAAUUAAUGCAGGUUUAAGACCCCCCUCAUUCAUCGUUAAUAACAUCACAGCAGCCAGUUGGCACUCUCACUUUGCUCAGCUGUAUUCUGCCCCAGAUUCCGACGUAAACGCAGUUUCCACUCUUCCUGCAUCUCCCUUGCCCACCUGGGAGCCAGUCUCCCCAGAGAGAUGUGUACAACUAAUUAGCAUGUUAUCAGGGGAUAAAUCCCCGGGGGAGGAUAUGAUUCCACCCGAGGUAUUCUUAUCGAACCAGAUGUGGUGGGCCCCUAUUUUUGCAUCUCUCUUUACCACUAUUAAUGCCACUCUUAAGAUCCCGCCAAAUUGGAAACAGAGCAUAGUCAUCCCAAUACAUAAAAAGGGGGACCCACAAGAUCCGCGUAACUAUCGACCCAUCAGCCUGCUAGACAUAUCAUACAAGGUUUACUCUAGAUUCUUGCUAGAGAAAUUAAUCGAGUGGGCAGAAGAAACAAAGCUAUUCCACCCGGAACAGGCUGGCUUCCGUAAAGGUCACAGUACAUCUGGCCAAUGUCUUGUUCUAUUUACCCUGAUUGAUAAAUACCUAAACAGGUUUAACUGCAAACUACACGCGGCUUUUGUGGACCUGACCGCCGCUUUUGACUCCAUUCCCAGAGAUAGGCUAUGGCAGAAGCUUAGUUACACCAACAUAGAUAAGAGACUCCUCCUUCUUCUUAUGGAAAUUCAUAAUGACAUAUCGGCCAGAGUAAAAUUCGGCCCCCUGGGAGCUCUUUCUGAUUCUUUCCCUCUGAAUAAAGGGGUCAAACAGGGCUGCCUCUUGGCCCCUUUUCUAUUCAAUUUCUAUAUCAACGACAUCGUUACAACUAUGCAGGCCCUAAAUCAAUCUGCCCCCUCUCUACAACAGCUCAAGAUCCCCAUAUUACUCUAUGCGGACGACAUGGUGAUACUGUCUUUAACCAAGCAGGGCUUAAACAACAUGCUCAGAGGGCUCAUGACAUAUUGUGAUACCAAUUCCCUCAAAAUCAAUUUCGCCAAAACCAAAAUUCUUACUUUUGGCACGAAAACUCGGAAGUCAUUCUGGAACUUUGAGGGCCACUCUAUUGAAUAUUGCUCAGCUUUCAAGUAUUUGGGAAUCACUUUUCAGCAUGGGCUUAGCUGGUCAGCUCACCUAAAUAUGACCAUCCUGGCUGCCCGUAGAACCAUCAAAGCCUUGGAGAAAUUCUUCUAUGCAAAAGGCGGCCAGUUGGUUCCACCAAUCAGAAAAGCAUUUAUUAGCAAAGUCCUCCCGAUGUUACUGUAUGGGGUUGAAAUCUGGGGGUGGAAUUUAAAAACACUUCAACGGCUGGAGAUUCUACAAAACUCUUUUGUACGAAAGAUACUGGGUCUCCCCAAGGGCUCGGUUGCUGCUCAGUUAAGAACAGAACUGGGCCUCCCCUCCAUUGUUGCGAGAGCCCAUAUUAGAAUUAUUAGUUUUUAUUGCAAAUUAAUCAAUGCCCCAGGUUCCCUACUAGCCAGGCAAGCCUUUUUAACUUGUUCUCACUCCAACAAAUGGUCCAAGGCCAUGGAGACUAUUACUGUACGCUACUCCCUCCCAGAAUUCGACACGUUGUCAUCUUGGGACCAACAUAAAAUCCGGGACUGGAUUCUUAUAAGAGAUGAGGCCAUGGACCGGGCACAGUCCACCUCAGCUCGCCUCUCCAUGUGGCUCCCUAAAGUGAAAGUGGUAAGAUCACUUGCCAACUACUUGAUAGACCUGACGGAGCCCAAUUUGAGAAGAGCGUUUACAAUGGCCCGUUUUCAUUCUAUACCCACGGCCUUCUUGCAGGGGACCUACUCUAAGACCCCUAUUACUCAGCGUCUAUGUCCAUGCACAAUGAAUGAAGUAGAGGACUUCAUACAUUUCUUUUUCUACUGCCCUAUUUAUGACCCAAUAAGACCUAAGCUCCUCCUCUUGAUCCCGUCCUCCAUUUCAUCUAAGGAAGACUGUCUGAAAGCACUUCUUGUGGACGCAAAUCCCCAAAUUUCACGUGGGGUGGCAAUCUUCAUAGUGCAGGCUCUGAAACUCAGGGCUACUCUGACAGGGUAGUGUGCCCUAGUCCUGGACCUGUUUAAUUCUUUUAUUACCUUCUUAACUCAAUGUGCUGAGCCUAUUUUGGGGCCAUUUUAUGUUUUAUUUAUAUCCGCAUACUAGUUUUUUGGUGCUGGCAACCAAAUCUUUGUAUUAUUGUCUUAGGGUGUUUUAAAUGUCAUUACGCCAGCAAUAUCGCUUUGAAUUUUGCUUGGUUGCUUGUCCCCAACAUUUUUGUAUUGUCUUAUUUUGCUAUGGCUGUAUGCUAAUGCAAUUAAAUUAAA